rnacentral:lncRNA from 1 species
GGGAGGAGUGGAAGACAAAACACAACAAAAUCUACAGCAAAGUUGGUGACAUCAAAAGUGUUCCUGGGAAACAGAGAGAGACUCCAUAGCUGGGGAGGAGCUCCCAGAAGCCAGGUCAAACCAAGAAUGAAGAAGGAAAAAGGAGAGCAGUAUGGGAGGAGAACUUGAAAAUGAUUGAGCUGCACAAUGAAGAGUACAGACAAGGGAAACACGGCUUCUCCAUGGGACCUGACCCAUGAAGAAUUCAGGAAGACAAGACUUGGCUAUCAAACCAUGGAGGACGAUUGUGUGGAUUGUCAAGGUGAUGUGACUGGUGUGAAGGAUCAGAUAUGACACUGUCACAUUCAGCCCUUCCAGUGCCCACAGGAAAGACAAGAAGCUGGAGUAAGAAAUGGGGAAUGGACAGCUGCAUGAAGAUCUUAAGAGACCAGGACAACCACUGUGGUAGUGCCACAGCUAUCCCACUGUGCGAGCUCCUCGUUGGCGAUAGGAAGGUUUCGAUUGCGGACAUCAUGCCCAGAGGAGGGACUUUAUCACCAAGGUGACCAGCUCCUACUGUGUCGGAUCCAACACUUGAUAAGUUGUGAGCUCUGACAUCUUUGUAGAAGUAAAAUGAUACCACUACUAUUAUAACUGAUGUAAACACAGUAGUAUUAGGUACAUAAUGCAUUGACUCUCACUUGAUUAAUGAAAUUUAAAUUUCGUAAGGAUGAUACAGCUUUCUCUUUAAUGCACAUUCCAUUCUUCUCUGAAGGCAAAAUUGAAUAUGUCAGUGGUACACCAGGAGGAAGAGAGGGUGACUUCCAGCUCCUCCAGUCAUACAUAUGCAGACCUUAUCUCAGGUGCCCUGUGUCCAACCCUAACCUUGAGUGGAACAAAAUUUGACAAACGAUCUAUGAGGAUAAAGGAAACUUGUUUGAAUAAAGAAAAAAAUAAUUUUUAGGAAGCA